rnacentral:lncRNA from 1 species
UAUAAGCCAACCGGAAGUUGGCGUACCCCGGGGGAGUGUUGUCAACGCGCAGUUCCACCGGACUGGCAACGCUUCUACGAAUACUAUUACAAAGGGAAACUGUAGUACCUAUAUGGACUUGGCAAACUGUCAAGGAGAUGAGAUGGCAAGAAAUUAGAAUAACGAGGCGUGAACAAAGACAAAUUGGCACAAUUCUUUAAUCUAAAACAAACUUAUGUCUAAAGUUAGUAAAAUCUUAAUCUAUUGUUAGUUAAUGAUAAAAGUUAAUAAGCUAUUUUCUAUUAGUACGGUAAGAGUGAAUUAUUAUGAACUGAACAUGCUGAAUUUCUAUUCUAAACUACUUAUCUAUUAGCUUAACCUACACGAACGGCGAGCAAUUCAUUACGGCAGUUAAAUCUAAAAUCACACAAAUAAUUAGUUGGUAUCCAUGCAACAAUAACCGUCAGAGUAUCAAUUGUUGUCUGACUCCGAGCGCGUAGUAAACGAAUUUUAUAACCGCCCCCACAUUGAACUCAAAUAAACGGUUUAUAAAAACGGAAUCUGCUCUUUGUUGUAUGGUGAGCCAAC